UACGGGGGGAGCAAGCGUUGUUCGGAUUUACUGGGCGUAAAGGGCGCGUAGGCGGCCAGCACAAGUCAGUUGUGAAAUCUCCGGGCUUAACUCGGAAAGGUCAACUGAUACUGUGCGGCUAGAGUGCAGAAGGGGCAACUGGGAAUUCUCGGUGUAGCGGUGAAAUGCGUAGAUAUCGAGAGGAACACCUGCGGCGAAGGCGGGUUGCUGGGCUGACACUGACGCUGAUGCGCGAAAGCCAGGGGAGCGAACGGG
rnacentral:rRNA from 1 species